rnacentral:ncRNA from 1 species
GUGAUUGGAAGAAGGCUAAUAGGUUGUAAAGCUCUUUCAUUAAGGAAGAAAAAAGACAGUACUUAAAAAAGAAGUUCCGGCUAAUUUCGUGCCAGCAGCCGCGGUAAUACGAGAGGAGC